GAUGAACGCUGGCUACAGGCUUAACACAUGCAAGUCGAGGGGAAACGACGGGGAAGCUUGCUUCCCCGGGCGUCGACCGGCGCACGGGUGAGUAACGCGUAUCCAACCUGCCUCUGACUGAGGGAUAACCCGUCGAAAGUCGGCCUAAUACCUCAUGGUAUCGUCUGCGGGCAUCCAACGACGAUUAAAGAUUUCAUCGGUCAGGGAUGGGGAUGCGUCUGAUUAGCUUGUUGGCGGGGUAACGGCCCACCAAGGCUACGAUCAGUAGGGGUUCUGAGAGGAAGGUCCCCCACAUUGGAACUGAGACACGGUCCAAACUCCUACAGGAGGCAGCAGUGAGGAAUAUUGGUCAAUGGGCGAGAGCCUGAACCAGCCAAGUAGCGUGCAGGAAGACGGCCCUAUGGGUUGUAAACUGCUUUUAUGCGGGGAUAAAGUGAGGGACGUGUCCCUCAUUGCAGGUACCGCAUGAAUAAGGACCGGCUAAUUCCGUG
rnacentral:rRNA from 1 species